UAAGUGCUCAGUGCCACAUCGGAUUCACAGAGUACCCUUCCAAAAUAAGUAGUAGGUAUCAUUUAGUUAUAUCCUAAACCCUAAUCUCAAUUUACAUUUUUCCAAUUACUGCCACCAGUAAAAGGAAAUUUGGGCUAUAAAUGCCUAAUCCUGCCACCCAGGGCUUUGUUUCCAACUGUUUCAAGAAUUUCCAAAGACAUUUUGGAUAAUAAAGAAUCUGCAUGUUUUCAGAAACCAUUUCCUAAUGGAUCAAGGAUGAUCACACCAUUCAUAGAAAUCAUAUAAGAAGUCAUAAAAAGGAAAUACGUCCUUCCCUCUUUUUCAUAGAAAGUUCUCAGUAAUAAUUAGACCAGAGCCUCCUUUCGAUGGUCAAACUCGGGAAGAUGUUUGCAUUCUCCAGGGACGGUAACUUUACCUUCACAAAGCUGCUGCAAUACCAACCAGAAGUUUCAUCUGUGAUGAAAGUGUGGGUGUGGAACAGAGCUAAACCCUAGGUGAACAUACCUGGUAAACUCAAUAUUCUUAUCUAUUGUUUCACACUGAAUCAGAGAACAGCGCUAAGCUUAUAAACACUAAAUUUUUUUAGACGUGAUAAAGGUGAUGAGCUAUAAAAAAAAUUGUGUUAUUUAUUCAAUCAAUAGGUAUCCACUAAAUGCUACACAAGAUUGACAUUGAUAAUAUUCAUUUAGAUCUUUCAGAAUAUACCAAGUAUUUCCUGAGUCUCUUCCUUGUUAUGAUAGAAGGUUCUUCUGGGCUUGGCCUAUCUGAGCCAGGGUGAAGGAGGGUAGCUUUGGGUUAGUUAAGAGAAAUGCCCAGUCACCUGCCCCUGGUCCUUCACUUUCAGUCCCUCACUGGUAUGGCCAUGUGAGCAUCAGAGUCCUUAGUGGUGUGGCAGAGGCCCAAGUCUGUUUGCCAUAAUCUUGAAGGGCAAUUGGGAGUUCCUAUCAAGAUACAAACAGAGACAUCCCAGGAGGUUCUGAAGCUGCCAGGGCCUCCUCCAUUGGAAGGGUACAGGGAGAAAUAGUAUCAGAAGGCCAUUUGUAGCUCUGAGGAAAUCCAAGAAUAAACAUUUUUUAGGAGCCAAUCAUUCAAAAAACAAAACGAAACAACAAGAAAAAACAACAAACAUGACUAAUGUUUAGAGCUUGGAUAUUUGGCUAUUUUUUUCAGGGAUGAAAAUUUGUAGAGAGAGAGAAAAAAAAAUCUCUUAUCCGCAGUGCCUUUUUUCAUUGCUGUCUUUACAUUAACACUGCUCUCUGCCCAGGUCUUUCACACCUACUCUGUACCCCUUACUCACUCACCCUGCUUCAGUGUUGAGGAUGCUCAUUUGGAGGAUGGCUAGAGCAGGAGAAGGGAGCUAGAUGCUCUGUGCUGCAGAUAUUCAACAUCUGAAGCUGCUUCUUAACACCUGUGUAUUAACGACAGCCUUUCCCCUCCCUCAUGCUAUCCUUCUACAGAAGUUUCUUUGAUCUUUCCAAUAACUCGAAAUGCUCUCCAUCCUGAUCAUUAUAGAAUAAUUAUACAAGACACUUUCAGCCUUGAUUCUCUAAUCUUAUGGAAGGAUUGCAGCUGCCUGCCAGUUUCCAAAAUCUGUGUAAGUAGCCUGGCAAGGGAAACAGGAAGUGAAGUAAGAAGUGAGUUAGGGUCUUCAGCGUUCAGGCAGCCUAGGCACUUCUUGAUCUUUUUCUAGACAGUUUCUCACUCCUGAGAGCCUAUAGAUAGUGAAAUACUUAGGUAAUUACUAGGAUACAGAGAGGAUCCUUAUGGUAGAUACUUGUGUUUCAGUGUCUCGGUAUUUCACCUUCUUCUUUCUACAAACAAGACAUGCCAUUUCACUAAAUUUUCUUUUUGAGUCCACACAUCCACCCUCAGUCUAAGUAGUUUGCAUGGGUUUCCAUCUCCAGCCACAAAGAUAUAGUUUGUAGCCUAGAAUUGCCAUAUUGACUCAUCUAGGAAUAGGAUUAACAGAGGUCUAGUAAACAGAUUGAUUCUACUACUGUGGCUGCAGACAUUGAUGCAGGCAUGGACACAUGAUCAUUGAUUCCAUGAGAGUAGUUGGGAGAGUUACUAAAAAGAGACACCAUUAUUAUUUCUGCUGAAACUGAAUCUGUGAGGAGAAACUGGUAGUUGCUUGCAGGUUCUACUAUACUUUGAACCUAAGAGUGAUGACAACAUAGACGAAAGAAGAUCCCAGAGAUGGAGUCUGCUUAAAUCCAGGUGAUAUCCUAUGGUUCCUUGGAUCAAGCCAUUCCUAAAUUGAGACACUUGAGAAACUUGAACUUUUUAAUUAUGUAAGCCUAUAUGUGUGUGUGUGUGUGUGUGUGUGUAUACACAUAUAUAUAUCUUUGCUUGCUCAAGAGAAUUUUAGUUGAUUUAUUUAUCACUUGUAACCUAAAUUAUCCCAAUGCUAUAAAAUUAUCAUCCAAAGAACCCUUAUUUUAACUUUAAGUUUUUCAAUUUUUUUAAAAAAAUUUACGACCACACAGGAGCGUAUAUGGACAUUCCAGGGCCAGGGAUUGAAUCUUCGCUACAGUUGUGAUGUACAUUUCAGCUGUGGCAACACUGGGUCCUUUAACCCACUAGUCUUGGCUGGUGAUCAAACAAGCACCUCCACAGAAACCUGAACUGUUACAGUCAGAUUCUUAACCCAGUGUGCCAAGGUGGGAACUCCCAGUUCAAAGAAAUUUUAUGUGUUUAUUUUUUUCUAAUUGUGAGAAUGGCUCCUCAUGAUGUUAAAAUAAGAAUAGAACCUUUUUUUUUUUCUUUUUUUUUUUUUUUGCUUUUUGCUUUUUAGGGCCACACCUGUGAGACCCUAAAAAGGAAAAAAAAAAAUUAUUAAGACAGAUUAGCAUAAGAAAAGCAUCAAAUUUACUUAACUUUUGUGUGACUUGGGAGCCCUCAUAAGGAAAUGAAGUGUCAAAUUUAAAUACUUUUAUACCAGUGUGGGAAAGUAACUAAAAUAUACAGGGAGGCUAAAGGAAGAUAAGAAUAAUUUUUAACAAGGUCUGUUUGGACAGAAUUCUCUCAGCUUUGAUUCUCUGUCAAAGUAUGUUUCUUGAUCCUAAUCCAGGGAGGGCAUUUCUCAAUGGAAUUUUUAUUCCUUUUUCAAGAAUAAAAGGGGAGGUCCUUUGAAGAGAUAAACAAAAUUAACAAACCUCUGGCUAGAGCAACCAAGAAAA
rnacentral:lncRNA from 1 species